GCAGAGUAGAUGAGCACAAUACUCAUAAAGUAUGCCUAAACAUAAUUGCUCUAUAAAGAAAUUUGUCGUGUAUGUUAAAUGUUUAAUGAUUAUUGGUGUAUCACCUAAUCGUUAAAUUGGCUUCAUUAUCGUUGGGAAAUUGUCUGAAGACAAAAGUUUUAAGGAUAAAAAAUGAUGCGUUUUGUUGUCAUCUUGUGGUUGAUGCUGGCCGUGACUCUUAAAUGUGCCGUUAAAUGGGGAUGGAACAAAAAGUUUGAAUUUUGUGAACAUAAAUGGAAUGUGUUUGUUCAAGAAAAAAAUCAAUCGGAAGAAAGGUGCGGAAAUUUGUCUUUAACUAAUGGUUGCAUCGA